rnacentral:rRNA from 1 species
UGGCAGGUCAGCAUACUGCCGUGAAUACGUUCCCGGGCCUUGUACACACCGCCCGUCACACCAUGAGAGUUGGGAAUACCCGAAGCCUGUGAGCUAACGUUAAGAGGCAGCAGUCGAAGGUAGAAUCAAUGAUUGGGGUGAAGUCGUAACAAGGUAAC